AUUGAACGCUGGCGGCAGGCCUAACACAUGCAAGUCGAACGAGUGGCGGACGGGUGAGUAAUGUCUGGGAAACUGACUGAUGGAGGGGGAUAACUAAUGGAAACGGUAGCUACUACCGCCUACCUUCGGCUGUGCCCGGAUGGGAUUAGCUAGUAGGUGGGGUAACGGCUCACCUAGGCGACGAUCCCUAGCUGGUCUGAGAGGAUGACCAGCCACACUGGAACGGAGACACGGUCCAGACUCCUACGGGAGGCAGCAGUGGGGAAUAUUGCACAAUGGGCGCAAGCCUGAUGCAGCCAUGCCGCGUGUAUGAAGAAGGCCUUCGGGUUGUAAAGUACUUUAAGCGGGGAGGCGUUACCCGCAGAAGAAGCACCGGCUAACUCCGUGCCAGCAGCCGCGGUAAUAC
rnacentral:rRNA from 1 species